rnacentral:rRNA from 1 species
UUAACACAUGCAAGUCGAGCGGAAAGGCCCUUCGGGGUACUCGAGCGGCGAACGGGUGAGUAACACGUGAGUAAUCUGCCCCAUGCUUCGGGAUAGCCAGCCGAAAGGCUGAUUAAUACCGGAUAUGACGCUCUCCGGCAUCGGGGGGUGUGGAAAGUUUUUUCGGCGUGGGAUGUGCUCGCGGCCUAUCAGCUUGUUGGUGGGGUAAUGGCCUACCAAGGCUUCGACGGGUAGCCGGCCUGAGAGGGUGACCGGCCACACUGGGACUGAGACACGGCCCAGACUCCUACGGGAGGCAGCAGUGGGGAAUAUUGGACAAUGGGCGGAAGCCUGAUCCAGCAACGCCGCGUGAGGGAUGACGGCCUUCGGGUUGUAAACCUCUUUCAGCACAGACGAAGCGCAAGUGACGGUAUGUGCAGAAGAAGGACCGGCCAACUACGUGCCAGCAGCCGCGGUAAUACGUAGGGUCCGAGCGUUGUCCGGAAUUAUUGGGCGUAAAGGGCUCGUAGGCGGUUUGUCGCGUCGGGAGUGAAAACCAGAGGCUUAACUUCUGGCUUGCUUUCGAUACGGGCAGACUUGAGGCAUGCAGGGGAGAACGGAAUUCCUGGUGUAGCGGUGAAAUGCGCAGAUAUCAGGAGGAACACCGGUGGCGAAGGCGGUUCUCUGGGCAUGUUCUGACGCUGAGGAGCGAAAGUGU